AUCGUCUUAAGCAGCAGCGGUGCGGCAUCAAAACUUCAUUGAAUCUUGAGAUGCCUCGGAAGCUGUGCGAAAGUUUGGCAGGAAAUCGAAACGAAACGGUGCUAAAAGGUGAAUCAGCUGCUGAUCAACAGCUCGGAUUGGUUAGCAUCCCUGUUGAGCACGAACAUCCAAAGAACGUACUGGAUCAGUUUUGUGACAUUAUUAUUUAUAAGGAUCAAUUUAUGCUCGGGCACAUCGCACGAAGGAAAUGAGAACCGUUUUAGGAAUACAGCCAAGAAAAAAGUAUGCGGCAAUAACCAUCUUAAACUUCGCCGAUAAUGGAAUCGACUAAGAAAGAAAGAUCACGAACGCAUCCAGAGACAUUCGACAUCUCAUAAAUUUGAAACGCCAUCGAUUUAGUGAUUGUCCCCAGGGGCAGCCGCUGUUGAUUUCGCCUCUUGUAUCCCUGGAAGAAUACAUUCACAUUCAUUGUUACUUAAUAGGACGAUAGGACCCUCCGUUUUAAUAACGAUGGGAUGCGAUCCGGUUUCGACAAAAGAAAAAAAUGUUUACAUUCAAAAUCUCUUGACGUAUAUAUUAUAUGUAAAUAUUAAAAAUUGAUGUAAUAAAGUAUCAGUUCAUG